rnacentral:rRNA from 1 species
CAGCCGCCGCGGGAAUACAGAGGAUGCAAGCGUUAUCCGGAAUUACUGGGCGUAAAGCGUGCGUAGGUGGUGGUUUAAGUCCGUUGUGAAAGCCCUGGGCUCAACCUGGGAAUUGCAGUGGAUACUGGAUCACUAGAGUGUGGUAGAGGAUAGUGGAAUUUCCGGUGUAGCAGUGAAAUGCGUAGAGAUCGGAAGGAACAUCUGUGGCGAAGGCGACUAUCUGGGCCAACACUGACACCGAGGCACGAAAGCGUGGAGAGCAAACAGGAUUAGAUACCCGCGUAGUCCCUGUCUCUUAUAC